rnacentral:rRNA from 1 species
AGAGUUUGAUCCUGGCUCAGGACGAACGCUGGCGGCGUGCUUAACACAUGCAAGUCGAACGGAAAGGCCCUGCUUUUGUGGGGUGCUCGAGUGGCGAACGGGUGAGUAACACGUGAGUAACCUGCCCUUGACUUUGGGAUAACUUCAGGAAACUGGGGCUAAUACCGGAUAGGAGCUCCUGCUGCAUGGUGGGGGUUGGAAAGUUUCGGCGGUUGGGGAUGGACUCGCGGCUUAUCAGCUUGUUGGUGGGGUAGUGGCUUACCAAGGCUUUGACGGGUAGCCGGCCUGAGAGGGUGACCGGCCACAUUGGGACUGAGAUACGGCCCAGACUCCUACGGGAGGCAGCGAAGGGCGA